rnacentral:lncRNA from 1 species
UCGGUUUUACGAGAUAGAGGUCUCGAUACCUUGUUUUUACCCAAUUUCUUCAAUAAUUUCUUUUUCUAUCUAAUCACUAAAUUGGUAAAAUUUUUCUAUCAAUAUUUUCAUACAAUUUUUCUAUCAUAUCAAUUUUCAAGAAAAAAUAUUGAAAUAAAUUUCUCUUUAAAUCGGAUCUAUGGUUACGAAACCAUUGUUCCGAUAACAUUAAAUUUAGGCCAUUACAACUCUCCCCCCCUUUUAAGGAUUUUCGUCCUCGAAAAUCUUACCAGUAAAGAGGUUUGGGUAUUGUUUCCUCAUUGCCUCCUCCGGUUCCCAUGUUGCUUCCUCAAUCCCGUGCUUUUGCCACAAUACUUUCACCAAAUUUAUCUUUUUAUUUCUAAGCUCUUUUGUCUCCCGUGCCAAUAUCUUGACCGGUUCUUCACUGUAAGUCAUAUCCGGUUGAAUCUCUACUUCUAUCGGAGAAAUAACAUGUGAAGGAUCUGAUCGAUAUCGUCGUAACAUAGAUACAUGAAAAACAUUAUGGAUUCUAUCAAGUUCCGGUGGUAAUGCCAAUCGAUAAGCGAACGGUCCAAUUCUUUCUAUGAUUUCAUAGGGCCCGAUAAAUCUUGGACUCAAUUUACCCUUUCGACCGAAUCGAAGAAAUUUCUUCCAAGGAGACACUUUCAGAAAUACCUUGUCACCGACUUGAAAUUCAAUCUCUUUUUGCUUAAGGUCGGCAUAUGAUUUUUGACAAUCGGAAGCUACUUUUAGACUAUCUCGAAUAACCUUUACUUUUUCUUCUGUUUCCCGGAUCAAAUCAACCCCAUGUAUCUUCCUUUCACUGAGCUCUAUCCAAUAUAACGGUGUUCUACAUUUUCUACCAUACAAAGCUUCAUACGGAGCCAUUUUAAUACUGGACUGAUAACUAUUAUUGUAAGCAAAUUCAAUCAAAGGUAGAUACCUCUCCCAAUUACCUUCAAACUCUAGUAUACAACAUCGGAGCAUAUCUUCCAAUACUUGAAUUACACGCUCAGAUUGACCAUCUGUCUGAGGAUGAAAUGCAGUGCUGAAAUACAAUUGAGUACCCAAAGCUUCUUGCAAUUUGUCCCAGAAACGAGACGUAAAUUGGGGAUCUCUAUCUGAUAUAAUGGAGACAGGUACUCCAUGUAACCUGACAAUCUCAGAUAUGUACAGUUCAGCUAGUUUAUCUAAAGAAUAAUCCAUACGUACCGGAAUAAAGUGAGCUGACUUUGUUAACCGAUCAACAAUCACCCAAAUAGUAUCUUUUUUCCUCGGAGACAAAGGUAGCCCCGAUACAAAAUCCAUAGUGAUUAUUUCUCAUUUCCAUUCCGGUAUAGUGAUUGGCUGAAGUAACCCCGAAGGUACCUGAUGUUCAGCUUUAACUUGUUGACAUAUUAAACACCUUGAUACAAACUCAGAGAUAUCACGUUUCAUUCCUGACCACCUGUACAUCUUUUUUAGAUCAUUAUACAUUUUAUUACUCCCCGGAUGUACAGAUAUAAUACCGCUGUGAGCCUCGCGUAGAAUCUUCUGUAUGAGCUCUGAAUUCUGAGGUACACAUACCCUACCUCUGAAUAAUAAACAACCAUCAGAACCAAUCUGAAAUUCAGAAUCAUUACCUGACUCACACUGUGCCCGUUUAACUUGUAACUUCUCAUCAUUCUUCUGAGCUUCACAUAUUUGCUGUAAAAAUUUCGGUUUAGCUCUAAAUUCAGCUAGGAUUGAACCAUCAUCAGUCAAUGAUAACCGGGUAUUCAUAGCUCGUAAAGCAAACAGAGAUUUCCGGCUCAAAGCAUCAGCUACAACAUUAGCCUUACCCGGAUGGUAAUCAAUAAUCAAAUCAUAGUCCUUUAUCAGUUCAAGCCACUUGCGCUGUCUCAAAUUCAAAUCUUUCUGUGUCAUCAAAUAUUUCAAGCUUUUAUGAUCAGUAUAAAUAUGACAUUUCUCACAAUACAAGUAAUGCCACCAUAUCUUCAUCGCAAAUACAAUAGCAGCUAAUUCAAGAUCAUGUACUGGUAAUUUCUUUCAUGUGGUUUAAGUUGUCUUGAAGCAUAGGCUAUUACUUUGCCUUCUUGCAUCAAAACACAACCUAAACCAUUUAAUGAGGCAUCACUAUAAAUAACAAAUUCCUUACCCGGUUCAGGCUGCACUAAUACAGGUGCUUUCGUUAAUAGGUCUUUCAAUCGGUUGAAACUUUGUUGACAUUCAUCAGUGCAGUCGAACUUUACAUCUUUCUGCAAUAAUCGAGUCAUUGGAGAAGCUAUCAUAGAGAAUCCCUGUACAAACCUCCGAUAAUAACCAACUAAACCCAAGAAACUUCUAACUUCAGAUACAUUCUUCGGUGGACUCCAAUUGACAAUAGCUGAGAUUUUACUUGGAUCUACCCUGAUGCCUUCGGCAGAUACAAUGUGUCUAAGAAAACCCACUUCUCGAAGCCAAAAUUCACAUUUACUGAAUUUAGCAUACAACUGCUUCUCUCGUAGAAUUUGUAACACAAUUCUCAAAUGUUCUGCAUGUUCUUCUUCAUCCCGAGAAUAAACAAAAUAUCAUCAAUGAAUACUACUACAAAUCUGUCUAAGUACGGUCUGAAUAUCCGAUUCAUCAAAUCCAUGAAUACUGCAGGUGCAUUAGUUAGCCCAAACGGCAUAACUAGAAACUCAUAAUGCCCGUACCUAGUUCUAGAGGCUGUUUUUGGCACAUCUGACUCCUUUACCCGUAACUGAUAAUAACCUGAUCAAAGAUCAAUCUUUGAAAACAUAGUAGCACCUUUCAGCUGAUCAAAUAAAUCAUCAAUCCGGGGUAACGGGUACUUAUUCUUUAUGGUUACUUUAUUAAGUUGCCGGUAGUCGAUACACAAUCUCAAAGACCCAUCUUUCUUUUUCACAAACAGAACCGGAGCACCCCAAGGUGAAUGACUCGGUCGGACAAAACCCAUGUCAACAAGCUCUUGCAACUGUGUCUUUAACUCUUUUAAUUCUAUAGGAGCCAUCCGGUACGGAGCUAUGGAGAUCGGAGUAGUUCCCGGAAUCAAAUCUAUAGAAAAUUCCACUUCUCUUUCUGGUGGCAAUCUUGGUAAUUCUUCUGGAAACACAUCGAAAAAUUCACAUACCACUGGAACUGCCUGUAUCUUUGACUCAGAUACCUUAGUGUCGAGUACAUAAGCCAAGUAAGCAUUAUACCCCUUUUUGACAUACCUCUGUACUGCCAUUACUGAAAUCAUAUCAGAUAACCCCUCUAUCUGAUCAGAUUUAACUCGGAGCAACUCACCAUUCUGACAUUUUAGCACAAUAUAUUUUUGUCUACAAUUUAUUACCGCAUCAUGCUGGGUUAACCAAUCCAUGCCCAAUAUCACGUCAAAUUCAUCAAAUGGCAGUAACAUCAAAUCAGCCGAGAAACAAUAACCUCUUACCAUCAAUGGACAAUUUUUACAAAUUUUAUCCACUAACACAGACUGGCCCAGGGGGUUCGAGACUUUAACCACAAAUUCAAUAGGUUCAACAGAUAAAUUUUUAACAAUUGCAAGUUUAACACAUAUAUAUGAAUGCGUAGAACUAGGAUCAAUCAAUGCAGUAAUAUCAGUAUCAAGUAAAGAAAAUGUACCAGUAAUAACAUCGGGUGCUGAGGCAUCUUCUCUGGCACGAAUGGCAUAUGUCCUAGCAGGUGCUCGUGCCUCAGGCCUACCUGCAGUAUCUUUUGUAGCUCCUCAACAACCACUGACAUUACCGGAUGGUCGAGGUGGUCUACCUCUCGAAACUGGAUUACUCAGCUUCGAUAUCUGUUCAGCUUCUUUUUCACCCCUUUCUAGACAAUCUCUGAGGAAAUAGUCAAAAGAACCACAUCGGUAACAAGCCCCACACUUAAAUCGGCAUUCACCAAAAUGAGCUUUAUUACAGUACUGGCAUCUCGGUUUAGGAGUGCCAACACUGCCAACACUGGUCACUGAUGGAGUAGAAGGCCUUGGAUUAGUGCGUUGAGAACUUCGCUCUUUGCCCAAAUACCCAAUGGUUGAAGUAGAACGAUCCUGAUAUUUCUUCAAUUUCUUUGAAGCAGAAAACUGAGAUUUUCCCAUCGGUCUUUUACUAAAAAUUCGAGCUUUCCUCUCAGCGUGUUUCUUUUCUUUGUUCAAUUCUUCUGCUUUAUAAGCUCUCUCUGCCAAUGUAGCAAACUCUCGAAUUUCAAGAAUUCUGAUCAGUAACUUAAUGUCUUCAUUCAACCCUUCUUCGAAUCGUUUGCACAUUUCAGCUUCUGACUGUACCCAUUCUCGAGCAUAUUUACUCAAUCGAACAAAUUCUCUUUCAUAUUCAGAUACUGAUCUAUUGUCCUGUUUCAGCUCAAGAAAUUCUUUUCUUUUCUGGUCAUGGAACCUCUAGCUGAUAUAUUUUUUUCUGAACUCGGUCUGAAAGAAUUCUCAUGUAAUUUCUUCUUUCGGAACAACUGAAGCUUUAGUAUUCCACCAAUGGUAAGCUGUAUCUUUUAGCAAUGAGACGGCACAUUUCAGACAUUCUUCUGGUGUACAAGAUAAUUCUUCCAGAACCCGAGUAGUGUUUUCUAACCAGAAUUCAGCCCGUUCGGAAUCAUCAUCAACUGCUGCUCGAAAUUCUUCGGCCCCAUAUUUUCGAAUUUUAUCUACUGGAGCUUUCCCUUUUCUGACAGAUUCAGUACCUGUACCUUGUGGGAUCUCGGGAACCGGUGGAGGAGCAGGAAGGGGAACUUGAACUUGCUCCACUACAAGGUUAGUUCUUAGGUAUUGAUUAAACCAUUCAUUCAUCAUUUGAAAGAAGGCUAUUUUUGCCUCCUCCCCUCGACCCUCUGUCUCGGGCCUUCUACUGCUAGUUUCUUCUCUUUGUACUAAAUCCGGAGCAUGACUCCCAGCUUCCUCAGAUUGAGCUCGGUCGGAUGACAUUACUAUAAGAAAAACACAUUUUAAAUGGUCAAGAGAUAUCACACUAUCAAUAAUAAUUUAAAUGGCAUGUAUAGCUAAUCCCGUAUUUGCUACAUCGAUCCUAGAACCGGCUAAACCGUAGCUCUGAUACCAAUAAAUGUAAUACCCCUACCCGUAUUCAUUAUCGGAAUAGGGUACGAGGCAUUACCGGAGUUUACAAAUUAAUUUUUUUUAUAUUCAAUAUAGCCCUUUUAUAAAUAUCUAACAUUCCCUGUAAUAUUAAAUCGAGACCAAUCCACAUCAACCAAAUCAAUUCAACAUAUUUUCAUGAUAGAUUCAUGCAUUUAUAUAAGAUAACGUCAUCACAUAUCUAUAACCAGGUUUGUUAACCAUACUAAUGGCUUACUUUACAUUCAUUUCACGUUAACAUUUACUUUGUUAGCUUAUACAUGCCAUUGAUUUCCAAAAUAAAGUUUCUUUAUAUGCCGAAAUCCUGAGGUUGACAGUGUGAUGUGUCUCCGACCAAAUCCGACCUCCGAGCUCUUAACACUAUAAAACAGGGAAAAAGGAAACGGGUAAGCACUUUGUGCUUAGUAAGCUCAUGUAACAAGAAUUAUACUUACCUAAUAUUUUCAAUACAAUAUAAUAAACAUUCAUAUAUCCAUUCAAUGCAUUAUUACCCUAACAUGCACAAACUCAACAUUCAAGUUAGUACAAUAAUUUCCAUGUAUCAAUAAUAUAUAUACCAUGAUUGAUGAGCUCGUCAAUACCAUGAUUUCCAUUUCCUUGUUAUUUUUUCAUAUUUAUCCCGUUGAAUUUAUCGGAAUUUUCAUGGAUUUUCAGAGGUACACUUUUAGUGUACAAUUCCGGGUCCGUCAAUUCAUAUUCAUGUGCGCACAUUUCCAUUUCAGAGAGCACACUCCCGCGAACCUCAACCUUGCAGCGGGAUUACCAGUCCAGGCUAAAUCCCCUGCAAUAUAAACUCAUAGAGUAUUGUCGGGAUUACCAGUCUAGGUUAAAUCCCCUGCAACGACAAUUACUCUAAUGAGCUUAGAUCUGAAUUACCAGUCCAGGCUAAAUUCAGACCCUAAUUCGGAUUACCCGUCCGGGCUAAAUCCAUUUUACACAUAUUCUUCGGGAGGGCUAUAUCAGGAUAGGAUCACCCGUCCGGGCUAGAUCCUUUUUACCGUCAAUUCCUUUUCAGAGAUCCAUCGAAUUUUCCUUUCAUUCAAUCGGGAUUUCUUCCCAUUUUAUCAAAUAUAUCAAUGUUUCAUUAAUUUUCAUACAAUGAACACUCAAAUCAUAUUCACAUCAAUAGCAUACAAUCUCAAGCAUUUAAGAAUAUAAUUCAAGUUACACGAACUUACCUUGAUACUUGUUUGUAAACAGUAAAAAUCUACUAAUCCCGAACUUUUUCCUUUCCUCGAUCUAGCUUCGUAUUUGAAUCUUCUAGAUCUAAAUAAAUAAAUUUAAUUAUCAAUUUAAUACAUUUCAUGUUCAUAUGCAACAUUCUCUAUAAUUCAACUAUUAUUUAUAGUUCAUUCAAAGCUGUCUACUUGAGUCAUAGUCACUAAAUUAUUUAUAACUUGAGCUACGAAACUCAAAAUUAAGAUCCAUUAAUUUUCUCUGAAACUAGACUCAUAUAUAUUUUUACCAUAAAGUUUUCAGAAUUUUUGGUUUAGCCAAUCAGUACAGUUUAUUCUUCAAAGUCACCCCUGUUCUGUUGUCUAACAGUUCUGACCCUUCUUCACUAAAAAUAAAUUAUCUCUUUAUACAGAAUUCAAAUGAUGUUCUCGUUUAUUUCUAUUAAAAAUAGACUCAUUCAUAAUUCUAGACAUGUAAAUUUAAGUCCCUAAUUUUUUUAAUUCAAUUUUUUUAUAAUUUUUCAAAAUCAGAACAGGGGAACCCGAAUUCAUUCUGACCUUGUCUCACAUAAUUCAUUAUAUCUCAAAAUUUACAAAUCCAUUGCUUACAAUAUGUCUUCCAUGAGAAACUAGACUCAAUAAGCUUUAAUUUCAUAUUUUGUUCAUCUUCUAAUCCGAUUCCUACAAUUUUUGGUGAUUUUUCAAAGUUAGUCUACUGCUGCUGUCCAAACUGUUUUAGUGCAAGCUGUUUAUUACCAUUUUUCCCCUAAGCUUUUAAUAAAUGAUAAUUUCGUCCCUACUCAAUUAGCCUCUCAAUUGAGCUGAUUUUUCUCAAUUAACAUUUUAUUCUAUCACCUUAAACUAGUUUACAACCUUUAGGAAUCAUAAUUUCAGCAAUAGACUUUAAUUCCAAACAUUUUCACAAUUAGUUCCUAAAAAUCAAUUUCCAUUGAAAUUGCCUAAUAAAAUCAUCUCAUAAACAAAUUAAAGCUUUAAUUUCAUUCUAUUUCAUCAUAAACUUACAGCACUCAACCAUGGUGACUUUCAAUUUCAUCCAUGAAAUCAAAAACUAAUGAAUUUAAUAGUAGGACCUAGUUGUAAAAGUCUUAGAAACACAAAAAUUACAAGAAAAAGGUAAGGAUUAACUCACUUGGUGCAAAAAUUAUGAAAUAUCAGCUUAGAGAACCCUCCUAUGGCGUUUUUAGCUGCUGGAAUUGAAGAGAAAUGAAGAGAAAUCUAGAUAUUUCCUAUUUAGUCCUAGUUUUAUUUAGUUAAUUUUGUAAUAUUCCAAUUUUACCCUUAAUUUAUCAAUUUUUCUGCUGAUUUCAUACCCUUGCCGUCCAGCCCAAAUAACUUUUGGGUCUAAUUGUCUUUUAAAUCCUUUCUCAUUAGACUCUUAAGCUAUUUAAUCACUCUAGCAACUUUUACACCUAUUACAAUUUAGUUCUUUUUAUUUAAUUGACUACCUAAACAUUAAAAUUUCCUAACGAAAUUUUAAUACCACACUAAUAACAUUUCAUAAAUAUUUAUGAAAUUAUUUUAACUCGGUUUUAUGAGAUAGAGGUCUCGAUACCUUGUUUUUACCCAAUUUCUUCAAUAAUUUCUUUUUCUAUCUAAUCACUAAAUUGGUAAAAUUUUUCUAUCAAUAUUUUCAUACAAUUUUCCUAUCAUAUCAAUUUUCAAGCAAAAAUAUUGAAAUAAAUUUCUCUUUAAAUCGGAUCUAUGGUUACGAAACCAUUGUUCCGAUAACCUUGAAUUUAGGCCAUUACAAUAUAUUUAUACUUCUUCUUCUCUAUCCCAAGAAUCUCGCUAUCGACACCUCCGCUACAACCAUCUUUGACGUCACCAUCAUUGACCUCCAAACCACCACUCUAUCCUUUUUUUUCUUUUUCAACCCACCCAAUAGAUGAGCCACCACCAUUGGGAUCCGACUCUCUUUUUCUGUUGCCCAAAGGUAUUAACUCUGAAAAAAUCAUAUCGAAAUGGGAUUGGAGACAAUUUGGGGUCAAACUAUUAGUCCCCACAACCAAAUCGGUGAGAAGAAAAUCCUUCAAAGCAACAUUAGCAAGUCUAGGAUUGAUAUGGUAUAAACAAAAGGGUUGUCGAUUAAACUAAACAACACUAACUCCAUUGCCAACAUUAUCAAGUUGCAUAAAAUAAAGUUAGAAGCAAAACAAUGGGAACAUUAAGACAAACCAAACAACCGAUUGAACCAACGAUUUUCAGGAACAAAGGAAGUGGUUCCUCUAAAGGGACAGCCAAAUGCCGACAAGUGAAAUUUUGGGUCGAGUCAAUGAUUAGCAAGAUCCCAAAGUCGAAAUUGAACUAGGUGUUGUAGCAAAGGAGGAUGAGAGAUGGAUCAGAAGAAAAGCGACAGAGAUGGUUGAUGACGAAAAUUGGGGUCGAGGUGAGGUAAGCCCAAUUCUUGGAAAGAGAUUUGAAUUGGGUCACAGACCUAAGGGGCAAUCUGGAAAGGAUAUCGAUGCAAUUGAAAAAUCAGUCAAGCUAUAAGGCUAUGCAAAGAGAUAUAAUAAUUUUUUAUAUAUGCUAUAAGGCUACACAAAGAGAUAAAAGAUUAUGAUAAUUUUUAUAUUUAAAAAUGUAACGAUGAAGUCAAGCUUAUGUUUGUUUGUAGGGUAAUUAUUUGAUACACUAUUUGUAAAAAAAUUUAAACUUCACAAGUGGAUUAAGAGUAUUACAAAUGCUACAUUUAUUUAUAUAUUUUUUUAUUUUUUAUUACACCUUAAAAUAUACUUCUCAAAUCCUCAACUUGCUUGUAGAGUUUAAAACAAUCUACGCAUGAUAUAUGAAAUAAAUUUCCUUAUUUGUAACUUCGGUAACUUCAAACUUUGUUUUUUUAAAAUAAUCUAUGUAAUAAAAUAUAUAUAUAUAAACAUGAGUUUAAAGAAAUAUUUAAAUUAAUAUAUCAAUAUUUUUAAGUAUUAUUAUUUUAAAUAAUAUUAUUUUACAUUAAAUAAAAUUAUAUAAUUUAAUAAACUUAAAUAUAUAAAAUAAUGUGCAAGAGAUAUACACUCCAACACUUCAAAUGUUUCCUUGUAACGCGAACCAUACUGAUCCACACUGAAAUCAUUGUCACAUAAAAGGUUGAAUUAAUUUUUUUUAGUAAAUGAUGAUUUUUUGGGUACUAAUUUUUAGGCUAACGGAAGUUUUUUCGUUGAUGAAUUUUUUGGGUAAAUAUUUUUUUCGAAUUCCUUUUGUUCAUUUUGAUAAGUAAAUAAUUUUUUGUUAUGCUUUACUUAAUUUUGAAAAAUAAAAAGAAAAAGAAAAUAUUAAAUAAAAAACUGAAAAAAAGGAAAAUUUUCAAUUUAUAUAAUUUGGGGAAGAAAUAUAUAUUUUUUAAAAUAAUUUUGUAUAUUUUUAUUUUUAAAAGUAAAAUAUUUAAAAUUUCUCCAGUGAUUAUCCAAUCCAAUUUCAUGGAAGCUGAUACUAAACAUAUCCCAGGAAAGAGAGCAGCUGAAUCCAAUCACUUUUGCAGACAAAUACAGAUACAAAAAGCAUAGAUAAAUCACCUGUGCUCAUUCUCAUCUAGCACCUCUACUCCGUUAACCAAAAUCUACACGUCUCCUCUAAAAGCAGCCGUCUGAUGUUCACGCCCCAUCCUGAUUAGAUUCUCUCAGAAUUAUUUCGAAACCUGUUCACACCAACAAUCCUGGAACCAAUACUGAAAGCCACGUCACCCCGAGAAGAAGCAUGGCAAAGUUGUAAUAUAAGGGAAUAUAAAGGGCAAACUGGCAAACCAAAAUUAUGUUUUGUUUAUGUUAUAUGUGUCAGCGGACGCCAAACAAAUUCAAAUUCAGCAGAAUCUUUUUAUUUUAUUUUAUUUUUCUUAUGUUUAUUUUUUUCGAAGACCGAAAAAACACAGUGCAGAGAGGACCAUUUUUUUUUUCUCUUUUUCUUUCGUCCCAAUCAUGUUAGAUUUUCUCUCACUAAUAUAGUACAUUUAAUUUUAAUUAAUUUUUGUUUACUAUAAUAAUUACUAAUUUUUCUCGAGAGAAAAGGAAGUAGAAGUGUAUAAGGAAGAAAUAUCUCUUUUUUAAAUAUUUAGUAUAAGAGCCUUCAAUGAAAUUAUCCCUUUUUCGGAUUUAAUACUAUCUCGUAAUUGUUAUUGCAUAUUAUUCUUAUUUUGUAAUGGAUAGUGGAAGGGAUCUCAACUGAAGCUUUGAUACAUUAUUUAUAUUUUAUUCAUUAAAGCUAAAUGUGAUUAAACUGGAAACACAAAAAAUGAUCCAACAAAUAAGGAAUGAGUUGGGAAUACCAAUCUCUUUUUCACCUUUUAUCACUCACUGUUUUAAUUGAGUUUAAUAGCUAAACCAAAAGCAGUAUUAUUCAGAAUCAGGAAGAGAUUCGUGUCUCCAAACUUACCUCAAUUACAAUAAAUCAUCACUGUUUAUGAGCUGCUGCUGCUACUACUUUAAAAUAAAUGGAACUUCAACUGAAGCAAAGACAGAAAGUAAAAGCAGGUUUUUUUUUUUUCAAAAAAAGAGACACCACGGCAGAGCUGCUGCUGCUGCUACUUUAAAAUAAAUGGAAUUUCAACAGAAGCAAAAACACAAAGUAAAAGCAGGUUUUUUUUUUGGGCAAAUAAAAGAGAAUGGGAUUCAAGAAAAAGAAAAUAGGAGGUAGCUUCUUCUUUUUCUGUUAAAAGGAGAGUGGAAAUCAAAGUGAAGGAAAUGUGAGAAAUUAAGUAGAAAUUAAAGAAGAGAAAAGAUUUUAAUAUUUCCUGUAGAGAAAAAAAGAUGGUGAGAAGGGUUGCAGUGGGAAUCUUAAACAGAGAUGAGAAAAUGCAGAGCAAAGAGACAAGGAACACAAAGGGCCCUCAAAUAGCUGGAUUGAUCACAAUUAUU